rnacentral:rRNA from 1 species
AACGUAGGACACAAGCGUUAUCCGGAGUUACUGGGCGUAAAGGGCGUGUAGGCGGACGUGUAAGUCUAUUCUGAAAGCUCCUGGCUAAACUGGGAGAGGCGGAUGGAGACUGCAUAUCUAGAGUGAGGAAGAGGAAAGUGGAAUUCCGCGUGUAGUGGUGAAAUGCGUAGAGAUGCGGAGGAACACCAGUGGCGAAAGCGACUUUCUGGGCCUUAACUGACGCUGAGGCGCGAAAGCAUGGGGAGCGAACGGG